rnacentral:rRNA from 1 species
GAUGAACGCUGGCGGCGUGCCUAAUACAUGCAAGUCGAGCGAACGGACGAGAAGCUUGCUUCUCUGAUGUUAGCGGCGGACGGGUGAGUAACACGUGUAUAACCUACCUAUAAGACUGGUAUAACUUCGGGAAACCGGAGCUAAUACCGGAUAAUAUUUUGAACCGCAUGGUUCAAUAGUGAAAGACGGUCUUUCUGUCACUUAUAGAUGGAUCCGCGCUGCAUUAGCUAGUUGUUAAGGUAACGGCUUACCAAGGCAACGAUGCAUAGCCGACCUGGGAGGGUGAUCGGCCACACGGGAAGUGAGACACGGUCCAGACUCCUACGGGAGGCCGCAGUAGGGAAUCGUCCGCAACGGGCGAAAGCCUGACGGAGCAACGCCGCGUGAGUGAUGAAGGUCUUCGGAUCGUAAAACUCUGUUAUUAGGGAAGAACAUAUGUGUAAGUAACUGUGCACAUCUUGACGGUACCUAAUAAGAAAGCCACGGCUAACUACGUG